rnacentral:rRNA from 1 species
UAGGGAAUCUUCCGCAAUGGACGCAAGUCUGACGGAGCAACGCCGCGUGAGUGAAGAAGGAUUUCGGUUCGUAAAACUCUGUUGUUAGAGAAGAACAGCGCAUAGAGUAACUGUUAUGCGUGUGACGGUAUCUAACCAGAAAGCCACGGCUAACUACGUGCCAGCAGCCGCGGUAAUACGUAGGUGGCAAGCGUUGUCCGGAUUUAUUGGGCGUAAAGCGAGCGCAGGCGGUCAAUUAAGUCUGAUGUGAAAGCCCCCGGCUCAACCGGGGAGGGUCAUUGGAAACUGGUUGACUUGAGUGCAGAAGAGGAGAGUGGAAUUCCCUGUGUAGCGGUGAAAUGCGUAGAUAUCUGGAGGAACCCCAGUGGCGAAGGCGACUCUCUGGUCUGUUACUGACGCUGAGGCUCGAAAGCGUGGGUAGCCAACCGG